rnacentral:rRNA from 1 species
AUACGUAGGGGGCAAGCGUUGUCCGGAAUGACUGGGCGUAAAGGGUACGUAGGCGGUUAUGUAAGUCAGGUGUGAAAGGCUAGGGCUCAACCCUAGUAAGCACUUGAAACUGCGUGACUUGAGUCAAGGAGAGGAAAGUGGAAUUCCUGGUGUAGCGGUGAAAUGCGUAGAUAUCAGGAGGAAUACCAGUGGCGAAGGCGACUUUCUGGCCUUGGACUGACGCUGAGGUACGAAAGCGUGGGGAGCAAACAGGAUUAGAUACCCUGGUAGUCCACGCCGUAAACGAUGAGUGCUAGGUGUCGGGGAGUAAUCUUCGGUGCCGAAGUUAACACAUUAAGCACUCCGCCUGGGGAGUACGGUCGCAAGACUGAA